rnacentral:rRNA from 1 species
UACGAAGGGGGCUAGCGUUGCUCGGAAUUACUGGGCGUAAAGGGCGCGUAGGCGGCACUGCUAGUCAGGCGUGAAAGUCCUGGGCUCAACCUGGGAACUGCGCUUGAUACGGCAGAGCUUGAGUAUGGGAGAGGUAAGCGGAAUUCCUGGUGUAGCGGUGAAAUGCGUAGAUAUCAGGAGGAACACCUGCGGUGUAGACGGCUUACUGGACCAUAACUGACGCUGAGGCACGAAAGCGUGGGUAGCAAACAGG